AAUGGAUAGUACAAAGGGUCGCGAAGCCGCGAGGUGGAGCUAAUCCCAUAAAACUAUUCUCAGUUCGGAUUGUAGGCUGCAACUCGCCUACAUGAAGCCGGAAUCGCUAGUAAUCGUGGAUCAGCAUGCCACGGUGAAUACGUUCCCGGGCCUUGUACACACCGCCCGUCACACCACGAGAGUUUGUAACACCCGAAGUCGGUAGGGUAACCUUUAUGGAGCCAGCCGCCGAAGGUGGGACAGAUAAUUGGGGUGAAGUCGUAACAAGGUAGCCGUAUCGGAAGGUGCGGCUGGAUCACCUCCUU
rnacentral:rRNA from 1 species